GACGAACGCUGGCGGCGUGCUUAACACAUGCAAGUCGAACGGAAAGGCCCUGCUUUUGUGGGGUGCUCGAUUGGCGAACGGGUGAGUAACACGUGAGUAACCUGCCCUUGACUUUGGGAUAACUUCAGGAAACUGGGGCUAAUACCGGAUAGGAGCUCCUGCUGCAUGGUGGGGGUUGGAAAGUUUCGGCGGUUGGGGAUGGACUCGCGGCUUAUCAGCUUGUUGGUGGGGUAGUGGCUUACCAAGCGUUUGACGGGUAGCCGGCCUGAGAGGGUGAACGGCGACAUUGGGACUGAGAUAGGGACCAGACUCGUACGGGAGGCAGCAGUGGGGAGUAUUGCACAAUGGGGGGAAGCCUGAUGCAGCAACGCCGCGUGCGGGAUGCCGGCCUUCGGGGUGUAAACCGCUUUCGCCGGUGACGAAGCGUGAGUGACGGUAAUGGGUAAAGAAGCACCGGCUAACUACGUG
rnacentral:rRNA from 1 species